rnacentral:rRNA from 1 species
AUUGAACGCUGGCGGCAUGCUUUACGCAUGCAAGUCGAACGGUAACAGGCCGCAAGGUGCUGACGAGUGGCGAACGGGUGAGUAAUGCAUCGGAACGUGCCCAGUCGUGGGGGAUAACUACUCGAAAGAGUAGCUAAUACCGCAUACGAUCUAUGGAUGAAAGCGGGGGACCGUAAGGCCUCGCGCGAUUGGAGCGGCCGAUGUCAGAUUAGGUAGUUGGUGGGGUAAAGGCUCACCAAGCCAACGAUCUGUAGCUGGUCUGAGAGGACGACCAGCCACACUGGGACUGAGACACGGCCCAGACUCCUACGGGAGGCAGCAGUGGGGAAUUUUGGACAAAGGGCGCAAGCCUGAUCCAGCAAUGCCGCGUGCAGGAAGAAGGCCUUCGGGUUGUAAACUGCUUUUGUACGGAACGAAACGGCUCUGGUUAAUACCCGGGGCUAAUGACGGUACCGUAAGAAUAAGCACCGGCUAACUACGUG